UACGAAGGGGGCUAGCGUUGCUCGGAAUCACUGGGCGUAAAGGGCGCGUAGGCGGCCAUUCAAGUCGAGGGUGAAAGCCUGUGGCUCAACCACAGAAUUGCCUUCGAUACUGUUUGGCUUGAGUUUGGUAGAGGUUGGUGGAACUGCGAGUGUAGAGGUGAAAUUCGUAGAUAUUCGCAAGAACACCAGUGGCGAAGGCGGCCAACUGGACCAAUACUGACGCUGAGGCGCGAAAGCGUGGGGAGCAAAC
rnacentral:rRNA from 1 species